UACGAAGGGGGCUAGCGUUGCUCGGAAUUACUGGGCGUAAAGGGCGCGUAGGCGGAUGUUUAAGUCGGGGGUGAAAGCCCGGGGCUCAACCUCGGAAUUGCCUUCGAUACUGGACAUCUUGAGUACGGGAGAGGUGAGUGGAACUCCGAGUGUAGAGGUGAAAUUCGUAGAUAUUCGGAAGAACACCAGUGGCGAAGGCGACUCACUGGCCCGUUACUGACGCUGAGGUGCGAAAGCGUGGGGAGCAAACAGG
rnacentral:rRNA from 1 species